rnacentral:rRNA from 1 species
UACGGAGGGUGCAAACGUUGCUCGGAAUCAUUGGGCGUAAAGCGCACGUAGGCGGCGCGUUAAGUCGGAUGUGAAAGCCCCGGGCUCAACCCGGGAAGUGCAUACGAAACUGGCGCGCUUGAAUAUGGAAGAGGGUCGCGGAAUUCCCGGUGUAGAGGUGAAAUUCGUAGAUAUUCGCAAGAACACCAGUGGCGAAGGCGGCUCACUGGCCCGAUACUGACGCUGAGGCACGAAAGCGUGGGGAGCGAACAGG